CGCGGGGUGGAGAAGUGGUAUCUCGCGAGGCUCAUAACCUCGAGAUAGUCCGUUCGAUUCGGGCCCCCGCAACCA
rnacentral:tRNA from 1 species